AAACACUAAAAAAUUUGAUCAUAUUACACCGGUCUUAUCCUCUCUUCAUUGGCUGCCAGUUAAGUCUCGAAUUGACUAUAAAAUACUGCUAUUAACUUAUAAAGCACUAAAUGGCCUUGCACCAGAAUACCUUAGUGAACUGCUGACCACAUACAACCCUCCACGCUUGCUUCGCUCUCAAGCCAUGGGAUAUCUGUUAGUGCCUAGGGUAGAAAGAGCUACGGCAGGCUGCAGAGCUUUCUCCUACAAAGCUCCUCAGCUGUGGAAUGGUCUUCCACCGGAUGUGCGGGUUUCAGGUUCACUCUCAAUAUUCAAGUCCAGACUAAAAACACACCUGUUUAGUUUAGCGUAUAGGGACACUAGUUCUAGCCCUAGCUAACUCUUCACUCCCAGUCAGACCUGUAGUGUGAGGUGUAGAGCUGGGUGGGGAUCGGUGCCAUUGGCUUUGGAUGAACUGGAUUGUCAGUGCUGUCACUCUAGCUUUGCAAUCUCUUGUGGAACUGGAGUGCUGACAUUUCAGGGACUCCCCAUGCCGGCAUUCCCACUUGCCUCUCCCUCCUACUGAUGCUGCCAUAGCCAUAUCUGCCGGAGCUUGCAGAUUGCACUUCAUAUUGUACUCACCUAGCUUUUAGCACUGCCAAUAGCCUCCUCUACUAUGCCUAAUUGUACAUUUUAUUUCCCCUACUCCUCCUGGGGGGUGAUGCCUGGAGACCUCAAUCUAUCAAGAUAUCCAGCACACCCGACCACCACCAGUGACGUCCCUGCAUCCAGCUCGCCGUUCUGAUCUUCCAUGUAUGACCCGCUGCCUUACCUCUGGUUGCCUGGCAAUUGGAAGAAGACUCGGCUUCGGCAUUGGCUUAUCUUCCUUGCUCUCCUCUCUCUAUUUGACUAUCCCUGCCGGCCCCUGGAGGAUGGGCUUCCCCUUUGAGUCUGGUCCCUCUCAAGGUUUCUUCCUUCUAGGGAGUUUUUCCUUGCCACUGUCGCCUAUGGCUUACUCACUGGGGGCUUUGGGUGAGGAUACUGUAAAGCGCUUUGAGACAAUGUAAUGUUGUGAUAAUGCGCUAUAUAAAAAUAAAUUUGUUGUUGUUGUUGUUGUAAAGUUCCUUUGACUCUGCAGUUGUCUGCAGUUGCCCUUCACUCUGCACUUCACUACUGUAACUGCUGACCGAGCAGCGCAAAAUGUCCUCACCACUCUGAACUCAGCUGCUAUAAUAUCAUGCAGACCCCUGAGGGCAUCUGGGAAAGGUUUACUCAGUGUCCCAGAAUCAAGACCAAGCAGGGUGAAGCGGCUUUUAGUCUCUAUGCUCCCUGUCUGUGGAACAAGCUUCCUGAAGACCUGAGUGAACGUGUUUGCAAGUCCCACCUCAAGUAUGAAAUACCAAAAAAGUACCUCAGCUACUUUGGCUACAGGAACUUUUGGUACUGGUCCGUAGCUGGAAGGCAAUGGAAAAGGUAAAGUACAAAAUGUACCAUUCCUGGUGCUGUGGGAAAGCCCCUGAAUGAACUUGCCUUGCAAUUGGAUCCAAAG